ensembl:lncRNA
CAGGUUUUUGCGUGGGUUCUUUUCAGAAAGUUAACGCUCGCUUCUAGGAGCUUGAGGUGUUAUUCAUCUGGGAAUCCCCCAGGAUGCUAGAAAGGUUGACAGAAUGGUACCGUGUUAGUCCUGUAAAGUGUACAAUUUCUGUGGCUUUUAGUGUAUCUGCAAAGAUGUACGUCCACCACCACCAAUUCCAAAACAUUUUUAUCACCCUUCUCAUAACCAUCCUGAUAACCUCUAAUCUAUGUCUCCAUAGAUCUGCCUAUGGAGAAUAUACCAUAUAAAUGGAUUCAUACAAUAUGUGGCCUUUUUUGUCUGGCUUAUUUCACUUACUGUGUUCCCAUGUGCUCAUGUUUACAGUUCACAUGUGUUGUAGCAUGUAUCAGUACUUCAUUCUCAGUACAUUCAUUUAUUUAGAACUGAGUAAUGGUCCAUUCUGUGGAUAUACCAUGUUUGCUUACCCAUUCAAAAAUUUGUGUUUCCAC